UUCUAAUUCUGUUUCAAACAUUCAGUGUGUUUGGUUGAUGGUAAUAUAUUACAAUUAUGGUAGUUUGACAUGAGCACAAGACUAUAAAGUUGUACGUCAUUGUCCAUGGUAAUGUUACCACUUUCACGAUGAUAUAAAAUGGUACUGAAAAUUUUUGAAGAAUAAUAUUUGGGAUUUUCAUAAAUGCUUCAGCAUCAUUUUACUGUUGAUAUUAGACCAAAUUCAGAGAGGUUUUACCAAAAAUAGGUUGGUAAAGAUUUUCUAUAUAAGAAUGAUUAUGAAUUUGCUGAUUGGAUGAAAGAUAAUUCCUCGUAAUUGGUUGAAGAUUUGCAUUGGGUUUCCUAUGAUUCCUUAGAUGUAUUUGGGCAUAUUUAUUAGUUCAACACUUUACUAGUUUAGAUCAGUUGUACUUGUGAUAAUAUUAAUAUGAGAAAUAAAAAAAAACAUCGGCUACAUGCUGUGGUGCUGUUUAAUGUUUUUUUCAUUACCAUCAAACAAAAUUCUUAUUAUAAAGCACAAGAUCUAGCAUUACAUGAGAAGUUUAUAACACUGACCACCAGGUCCUGACUUUUCUGUGUAACAGAAUACAGAAACUAGCCUACUAACUGACAAAUCAUGGAGCUUUACCCUGGAUAGAUGUUGGCUGAUGAAACUCUCACAGUAAUUAAAGGUUUAGAUCCGAAUUUGCCAUCAUAUGGACAUAUUAUUGUACACAGGUGUACUAUGCAGUGUACUUGGCAUCAUCAAGGUGGUGGUGGCGGGGUGUGGAUUGGAUCAGCUGACGGUGGUUCAUAAUCAUAUCUCUCAAAAUCUAUCCUACCCUUGAUAAAUUUGUUCAUGUUAUCGUUUAAUACAUACUGUUCCUGUUAGAAAACAGAACAUAAAAUUGUUACAGGAAAAGAAAUGACUAUGACACGUACGUGGUGUAUGAAUUGCAUACAAUCAUAGUACAAAUAACUGUUGCAUUGUUCUUGUUACUACACUUUCUCUUCUUAUAUUUGGGAGAUUGUAAAGCCCUAAUUUUAUUACACAACAAUCAAACCAAUAUUAGUCAAGAAAAAGAUAUAAAGUGAUCAAUUAUUGAGAAUUUAAGAUGGUUUUUCUGUAUUUGGAAUUACUUGAAAUGGGGACUGCAUUUGACAAAACAAGGUAAAAACAAGCGAGCAUGAGCAUAAAGAGAUGAAGCUUGUGGCCUGCCAUUAUAUUGCUUCACUUGAGAUAUAUUUCAACAGUACUAUAGUGGUUUGUACCUUUGAUAUAUUUAUAGUGUAGGCAAUAUUUGGAAGUUUAAGAUAUGAUAGUGCACAUUUGAUGCUUUUGAUAUUACAGAUAUAAUUUGUUGUUCAUGAUUUGAUAUCAUAUAUUACUUGAUGGGUUUGCUUUUAUCUUACCAAAUAUUGUUAUGUAAAUAUUGAUAUCUUUUGUAGUUUGGUUCAAGUAUAUCUUUAAUAAAUCAUAAUGAUUGUAUUAGGUUUGAAUCAUUUUGUAACACUGUACAUAGCUGUAUCAUCUCAUAAACAUAAUUAAGCAUUCAACACUAUGUUCUUACCCUCCAAUUAGCACAUUGCACGCACACUCUCUCUCUUGGUAUCUUAGUUAUUAUCAUAUAUAUCUGAUAUUAUUAUGGAAUUAUUUUUUAAAUUAUCCUUUGUAAUCAUUGAUGUACAUCUUGUGAUUCAUGUAAAUCAAUAAUGAGUCAUAGCGAUUGUAUUAAGCCAAAAAAUGGAUCUCUUUUGGAGGAUAACUGGAUGUUUCUGAAAGUAAAGUGUCUGGCAUGCCCUUUUUGUCUUUGCCUUCGAAUAAUCAUAUGAAUUUGGACAUAUUUUGUUAUGAUAUGGUUUUAAAAGGCUCUUGGGAUUUUUUUUUCCUCUCUAUGUUUUCUUUGCAUGAAGCUUGUUUGAUGACUGAUGUAUAGUGGAAGACAUCAGUUGGAAUUAUAAUACUUUGUAUGUCAAACUCUGAUAAGGAAAGUGGAACCCACCAUAUAAGUGGAGGAAAAUGAGUAGCUUUCCAAUAAUAUGUGUUAUUUUACCACCUGUUUAAAGUCCAUUAUAUAUCUGAUAAACUAAGCAUGCAGAAACUUUGAACUCAGGAACUUGUGUGCUUUUAGAACUACAUUCAAACUUCCUCUGCUGCGGCAGAUGAUUGAUCUGUAUGUAUAGCUUAUAGGACAAGCUGGUUUAAUUGUUUACUUGAACAUAUUCUUCUUCUGAGCAUUUUGAACACGAAUAAAUUUUUGGUGCUAACAUUUAUUUAUAUUAUAGGGAUCCAAGUUUUAUUUGGAUUGGUCCUUGGUGGGGAUACUCGAAAUCAGAUUGUUGAGUUGACCUGUAAGAGUGUAAGAUCUUACAUAUUUGCAAAUUUACAGUACUGAUACUCCAACUAAAAGUAUAUACUUCCUCCGUUUUUUUAGAUGCCUCGCUUUCUAUAUUUGAAAGUUUUAAUUUAGAUGCAUCCCUUUCCUUUUUGGUUAAUAAAUUUUUUCUAUCUCUCUUAUAUCACAUGGGUCCACUUUUUUCUCUCUCUCUAUCUCUUUCAUCUCCAAAAACUGCUUAGGAAUCUGUGAAUUUAAAGUGAUGCAUCUAUUAAAGAAACGGAGGAAGUAUAAAUGAUAUUUAGCUCAGCUGUUUAAGAAUACUAAAAGCUCUCACUUUCGCUAAGCAUAUCAAGUUACUGAAAAUUGAUACCAACAACCUGUGUGCUACGUUGUUUGAAUUGAGAUCCUAGAUUGCAUCAAUUCUGCAAUGACAAUUGAUAUGAAUGUGUAGUGUCUUACAACUAUUAACUGGGCGAUAUGAAGCUGAACUUUCAUAGUGUUACUAUCUAGCUUACUACACCUUGUGGUUGUGAUAAUGAGCCCCCCUCGUCUUCCAUAAUAGGAUGUUAUUAUAAGUAUUAGUUUAAACUUAAAUGAGCUUACCACAUGUUGAUGCAAGUAAGAUGCCUUAUUUCACUUUCCGGAAAUUUUAUGGUUUGUGCAGGAGAACUUUUUAUAUAAUAGACUGAAAUCAGUCUGAAAAUCAACUUAUACCUUGUGGUCGGCAAAAUCAGAAAGUUGGGCAUUGAACAUUAUCUUAGUAGCCGUACAUGCUAAUAUUCAACCUGCCAAAACCACCAGAAAGUUGGGCAUUCAGCAUUAUCUUAGUAGCCGUACAUGCUAAAAUUUCAACCUGCCAAAACCUACAGGAUUUUUAAAUUCAGAUUCAGAUGAUGGCUUACAUGCUUCAGGAACCGAUCCAAUAGGAAAGUGGGCCUGGUCCAUCGAGUGAAUCUUUCGUGAGUAUCACUUUGACUGCAGUAAGUUCAGUCACCACUGGCUAUCUUGGUGAUCCGACUCAGUUUGUAUACACUUGUUCUUCAUUUAGCUCCUCGUACUACUUAUUGGUUUUAAGACUCAAAGGAUAUUAUAUUUGAAAUAGACAAUUAUCUGGAGAUGGUCUAAACAGACUUCUAUAAUUGAACUGGUUUUACGUGACUGAUUCUAUAGGUAUCUAGCCUUUAUGAAAAAUAUUAUCUCACAGGUUAGCGGUGUAAACUCAUAUAAUUGAACAUAUCUACAUCUUUCUACCUCUACUUUUUUCGCUCUCAAAUUCACUGGUGCCAUUCUGUUACUUCAAAUUAGCAUUUUAGCUGCCACAUCCGUUUUGACAGGAAAUGAGAACGAUGUUGGUAUGGAAACUUUACCUUGCAGUCAGACACUUCAUACCACUUUGAACGAUGGGCAGAUGCAGGGGAGAGUGGCUUAGAGUCGUGCAAUCUACUCGAGUAGAUUAAAUAUUAGAAUUUCAGACAACAAUUUUGAGGUACUCUAUCUCUUGAUACAGAUUAUUCUGGUUAAAAAGUAUGUUAUGUACUACCUCCGUUAUAUAAUAUUUGCAACUUUUGAAUUUCUAUAUCUCACAAAUAAUACCAAAAAGUUGCAAAUAUUAUCGAAUGAGGUAGCACAUUUCGGGUACUGUUCCUGUAUCCUAAACUUUGACGGGUGGCAUGUCAGAGAGUCAGACUCAGAUAUGUAUAACCUGUAUGGCUGUAUUUGACAUCCAAUCCCAAGUAUAAGUAACACAAAUGAACAUGUUCAGGGAUCCAUGAACAGUGAUGAAUGAUCUAAUGAUCUAUCCUUUCUUACAUCUGACUUUAAGUACUGUAAAUUUCUGGCAAAUAGAGUUAAACCUGUAUAGUUAUGCUUAUUAGAAAAUCUGCAGGAUCUGUUUUUGAUCCAAAUGCUAAAAUUAUACAAGUAUUUUUUACAACUAUUAUCCUAAGAUUUUGUUCUGUCAUGAGGAUUGCGACAACAUGAACUUGAUUUGUUUUGUUGUUUCUCAUUAGUGUUGGUGUGGCCCAAAUUAUCUAAGCCCAAUGUUUUGGUGGAUCAUUUGUGUAUGUUCUAGAAACUUUUAGAUGAAUCAAAUAAGGUUAGUGCUCAUAGUUGCACCUGAUAUCUCUUGACUUUUUAAUAAGCUUAUUGAUAAUUAUUAGCUGGGUCCUCUAACAUAAUAUCAAGAGAUCUCAUCUGCAUCCGGUAAGAGUGACAAAAAGGUUACGAAUUCAGAUAUCAUCCACAUCUCGAUAUACAUGAAGUAAGAUUUCAUUUUGUGUUAAGAAAGCUUCUUUUUAAGGUAAGAAAUUUAGUAUUGGUAAAUUUCUUUACUUGCUCUCUCCUCUUCUCAUCAACACCAUUUGUAAAUCCAUUUUGCAUAGUUUGUUA